GACGAACCGUGCGAACGUUAUUCGGAAUCACUGGGCUUAAAGCGCGUGUAGGCGGAACGGCACGUCGGUCGCUGAAAUCCCCCGGCUCAACCGGGGAACGGGCGCCGAUACGACCGUUCUCGAGGGACGUAGGGGGACCUGGAACUUCCGGUGGAGCGGUGAAAUGCGUUGAGAUCGGAAGGAACGCCCGUGGCGAAAGCGAAGGUCCUGGACGUCGUGCUGACGCUGAGACGCGAAAGCCAGGGGAGCGAACGGGAUUAAGCAAACCCCGAGUACGUCCA
rnacentral:rRNA from 1 species